GGAACACGGUGCGAAUCCGUGGCGGGCCCGCCGCUGUAACCGGGGACGAAGGCUGCAUGGUCGCCAGACCAGCCACUUGCGGGGCAUACCCCGCCGGGAAGGCGCAGCGCUUCGGCUGAUCCGGAAGCCAGAAGAC
rnacentral:ncRNA from 1 species